GCAGACGGCGGUUGCUAUGCCAACCAUGUCCCCGCGUGCUGUUUGUGUCGUGGACGUCCCGACGCCGUUGACAACGACUGUGACGUCAUCGACAUAAACGAUACAAAGAAUCUUUGGAUCUGAAGAAAGUCUGCAACUAUCUUCAAGCAACAUUCCGUCAUCUUAACUGCUCAGUAAAAAUGUAUUCACACCUGCAAGUGUGGGCAGUGGAUGAGUCCAAGACUCUCCUGAGCCAUGCGCUUAAGUUCAGUUUUACUGAAAGUAUUGGUGGCAAGUAUCUUAUUUUUCUAAAUGAACAUAGAAAUACAGCGAGAGUGACCAUGUUCCACCUGUAAAAAAGACAAAACCUAAAAAUAACAAUAAAACUGUUCGUAUGUUAGGGUGCAGCAGCUAAUGAAGCUGCUGUCGGUACCAUGAAGUGUUGACUAACUGAGGAAUAAUCUUGACACUAUCAUAAAGUCAAAUCUGAUCAGCGAAACUCCGAAUUAACAUUGAUAAUAAUUUAAAAAAGUAGAAGUACAAGUUGAAAACAUGGCAUUAACAGUGAAAAUAUUUGUGAAACUCCGAGAGGCAAGUAAUUUAUUCAAACCCUUAUCUGAAGCUGCUGCUGGUGGAUGCUGGCUCAUUGACUUGUAGAAUAUUAGUGGAUGAGUCGGGUGCCACCUCGUUGUAUGACUCAUUUUAGUAUUUAGUUUAUUGUUUAUUGAAAAGGAUCCCAUUAGCUGACGCCAAAACGUCAGCGAGUCUUCCUGGGGUCCAGACAAUAAAAUACAUAGUAAAACCCUACAAUAUCAGUUCCUAAAAUACAUCGUUUUAAAUAAAAUUUACAAAUAACAAAUAAAGAAAACAUCAUACAAAUCAAAUACAAUUUGAUGUGUUAAUCUCUAUCAAUCAAAUACACAAGCCCUAUAUAUGAUAUUAAGAUGAUGACAUAUGUUCUUAAUUUAAAACCAGCCUUACUUUUAAUAUCAGGAAUCUCACCUGGAAGUGUUCCAAUAUGCAAAUGAUCUAUAAAAUACUGUGCUCUUCACAGAGUCAGACUUAGGUAAGGGUAACGUGAUCCGACCACGUGAUUCGCCCCUCGAGUGUUAUAUACAUGAAAGUUUGAACAGUAAGUUAUUUUAUGAUAAAGAAAUUUAGGAGUCUGAGUGUUAAUAAUUCUAUGAAAAUAUAUAAGUACACUACAGAUAGGCUGUCCUCAACCAUCAGCCAGGAGAGACGUUCAUGUAUUAUUUAGUAUUUAGUGACUUCAGUAACUGGCUUUAUGUUGUUUUGUACCAAACAGCGCACUGACAAAACAUUACUUGGUGGUGGUUUGACAGAGAAUAAGGUUUGUCACAUGGUAACUGAGGGGAAAACAGGAAAUUGAAUGUUUGGACAUUUCAAAUUAUGUUUUCUGAUGAUGACAUGAUGAAGAGGAAAAAUAUGAUGAUUUCUAAAAUGCAAUGUGAUCCAAGCUUUCUGAUUGACAGAGUUUUAUGUUGCAUGAAGAUUAUGUGUAAGAUUCCUCUGUAGUCAGUUUCCACACAGUGAUGGGAUGUGGGACAGCACAGUGGAUUAGUGGUUAGCACUGCUGCUUCACAGUAAGAACGUCAUGGGAUCGAUUCCCACCUGUGGCCUUUUCUGUGUGGAGUUUGCACAUCCUCCCCAUAUUUGUGUGGGUUCCCUCCAGGUGCUCCGGCUUCUUCCCACAUCCAAAGACAGUUAGGUGGACUUUAGAACGUACGGUAAAAAAUGCCUUUGGACCCCAGAGGGUUAAUAGCAGAGUAUUCGUGCGGGUGUGAAUGUGUUUGUUUGUCUAUAUGUGGCCCUGCAGACUGGUGUCCUUCCAGGGUGAACCCCCCACCACGGUGACCCGUAAGUGGUUGAAGAUGAGUGAGUGAUGUGAGAGUUUGAAUAACUAUGACGUCUGAAUGUUCUUUUUCUUUCCUAGUGGUCCUUUUAUGUCUUUGUUUUACUUCAGUGCAACAUUUGUGAUUAUUUUUCAAAAUGAAUAAAUGUUUGUGAAUUUUUUUCAAACACUGUUGUUUUCUUCUUGUUGGGGAAAUAGGCCACCUUUGUGUUCCGGUGUAAACAAAGAGAAUCUUUCUCUGACAGUAAAAUAAAAUAAAUUUCAUGAUCACA